rnacentral:rRNA from 1 species
UACGGAGGGUGCAAGCGUUGUCCGGAAUCACUGGGCGUAAAGGGCGCGUAGGCGGCUCGGUAAGUAGGGGGUGAAAUCCUGCGGCUUAACCGCAGGGCUGCCUUCUAAACUGUCGAGCUUGAGCACGGUAGAGGCAGAUGGAAUUCCCGGUGUAGCGGUGGAAUGCGUAGAGAUCGGGAAGAACAUCAGUGGCGAAGGCGGUCUGCUGGGCCGUUGCUGAGGCUGAGGCGCGACAGCGUGGGGAGCAAACAGG